rnacentral:rRNA from 1 species
AUUGAACGCUGGCGGCAUGCUUUACACAUGCAAGUCGAACGGUAACAGGGUGCUUGCACCGCUGACGAGUGGCGAACGGGUGAGUAAUGCGUCGGAACGUGCCGAGUAGUGGGGGAUAACGCAGCGAAAGUUGUGCUAAUACCGCAUACGUACUGAGGUAGAAAGUGGGGGACCUUCGGGCCUCACGCUAUUCGAGCGGCCGACGUCUGAUUAGCUAGUAGGUGAGGUAAAGGCUGCCCUAGGCGACGAGCCGUAGCGGGGCUGAGAGGAUGGUCCGCCACACUGGGAGUGGGACACGGCCCAGAAUCCUACGGGAGGGAGCAGUGGGGAAUUUUGGACAGUGGGCGAAAGCCUGAUCCAGCCAUGCCGCGUGUCUGAAGAAGGCCUUCGGGUUGUAAAGGACUUUUGUCAGGGAGGAAAUCCCUAGUGCUAAUAACACUGGGGGAUGACAGUACCUGAAGAAUAAGCACCGGCUAACUACGUGCCAGCAGCCGCCGUAA